UGGGGCCGAUCGAGCGUAGUCUAUCUUCCUCAAUCUGGGCUUCAUGAUAGAGAUUGAGGAGGUUGUUGUGGAGGCACCGCCUGCAUCAAACUAUAGUGCAUGAUGGCAUUGACUGCCAUUGUUAGUGCCGGCACUGGAGCAACCAAUGUGGCAAACUAUUCUUGACUCACUCUAGAGGCUAACUAUGAUAGUUGUGGUGGUGGCACCCUAUUUGGAUCCUCGAUCGUGUGGGGAGCCAUGG
rnacentral:lncRNA from 1 species